GACGAACCGUGCAAACGUUAUUCGGAAUCACUGGGCAUAAAGGGCGCGUAGGCGGCUCCAAAAGUCAGGGGUGAAAUCCGGCAGCUUAACUGUCGCAGUGCCUUUGAUACUGUGGAGCUAGAGGGAGGUAGGGGUCUGUGGAACUUCCGGUGGAGCGGUGAAAUGCGUUGAUAUCGGAAGGAACGCCGGUGGCGAAGGCGACGGACUGGAUCUCUUCUGACGCUGAGGCGCGAAAGCCAGGGGAGCAAACGGG
rnacentral:rRNA from 1 species